UGGUUGCCGCUACACUUGAGUUGCUGUCGACGAGUUCUGCAUUAUCUGGAAGAGUCGCGUUGCAUCUUGAUUUAAUUUUGAACGAGUGGCGGACGGGUGAGUAACACGUGGGUAACCUGCCCUUAAGUGGGGGAUAACAUUUGGAAACAGAUGCUAAUACCGCAUAAAUCCAAGAACCGCAUGGUUCUUGGCUGAAAGAUGGCGUAAGCUAUCGCUUUUGGAUGGACCCGCGGCGUAUUAGCUAGUUGGUGAGGUAACGGCUCACCAAGGCAAUGAUACGUAGCCGAACUGAGAGGUUGAUCGGCCACAUUGGGACUGAGACACGGCCCAAACUCCUACGGGAGGCAGCAGUAGGGAAUCUUCCACAAUGGACGCAAGUCUGAUGGAGCAACGCCGCGUGAGUGAAGAAGGCUUUCGGGUCGUAAAACUCUGUUGUUGGAGAAGAAUGGUCGGCAGAGUAACUGUUGUCGGCGUGACGGUAUCCAACCAGAAAGCCACGGCUAACUACGUGCCAGCAGCCGCGGUAAUACGUAGGUGGCAAGCGUUAUCCGGAUUUAUUGGGCGUAAAGCGAGCGCAGGCGGUUUUUUAAGUCUGAUGUGAAAGCCCUCGGCUUAACCGAGGAAGUGCAUCGGAAACUGGGAAACUUGAGUGCAGAAGAGGACAGUGGAACUCCAUGUGUAGCGGUGAAAUGCGUAGAUAUAUGGAAGAACACCAGUGGCGAAGGCGGCUGUCUGGUCUGUAACUGACGCUGAGGCUCGAAAGCAUGGGUAGCGAACAGGAUUAGAUACCCUGGUAGUCCAUGCCGUAAACGAUGAAUGCUAGGUGUUGGGAGGGUUUCCGCCCUUCAGGUGCCGCAGCUAACGCAUUAAGCAUUCCGCCUGGGGAGUACGGACCGCAAAGGUUGGAACUCAAAGGAAUUGACGGGGGGCCCGCACAAGCGGUGGAGCAUGGUGGGUUUAAUUCGAAGCAACGGCGAGGAACUUUACCAGGGUCUUGACAUUCUUUUAGAUCACCUGGAGAGGAUCAGGUUCCCCUUUCGGGGGGCAAAUGACAGGUGGGGCAUGGUGGUCGUCAGCUCUGUCCGUGGAGAUGUUUAGGGUUAAGGUCCCGCAACGAGCCACCCUUAUGACUAGUGCAGACAUUAAUGGCACUCUAGUGGACUGCGGGUAAACUCGGGAGAAGGCUGGG
rnacentral:rRNA from 1 species